GUCAGAGAAACUGCAGGAUAUUUGAUUGACUUUUAUUCCAGAUCAAGGCCCAAUCAAUUAUUCUACGAAUCUGAAAGAUUGAGUUUUAUUUAUCGAAGUUGCUGCAAUCGGUGGUUUAAUUUCGGGAAAUUCGUUGUAGUUACAAGUGUCGCAGUUUCCCAGACAUCUGUUGUGUAUUAAGUCACGCGAUAUCCAAAUAUUUGAUAGCGAAUAUGGUGGUACAGCUAAUAGCGCCUCAAUAAAGAUACGUGAAAAUAUUGGAUGACCCAUUUCUUUUACAUUUUUGUUUUCCGUCUGGUAGCAAUAAAGCGUGGAUUCUGCAUCACAAAGUACGUUUCUCGUUGGAAUUCAGAAAAAAAUAAAAUAAAAAAAAAAUAUUAUUGUUGAUAAGAGAAGUCGAAAUGCAAGGUGAAAGAAUGACUGAUAAAAAAAUAAAAUACCUAAAAAGAGAUUAAAAUAAAAUAGUGAAUAAAAAUCUAACUAUUCGUCGAAAGACAACAGGUUGGCGAUUUCAACGUCUGAACUAAACUGAGGGUAUAAAAUCUACCGCUGGCUCAAAAGUAAGUGUUGAUCGUCGAUACCCUAACGCGUUGGAUUCCCGUUUGGUUUUGCAAGUGCUUAUAAUUGCGCGAAAUAAAAAAGUGAUAUAUUCUG
rnacentral:misc_RNA from 1 species